GAGGAGGACCCAUGCAAGAACUGCUAACUCUUGCCCCCAGGUCUAACCCCUUGGCCCCCUCG
rnacentral:tRNA from 1 species